UACGUAGGGUGCAAGCGUUGUCCGGAAUUAUUGGGCGUAAAGAGCUCGUAGGCGGUUUGCCGCGUCGGCUGUGAAACCUCGGGGCUCAACCCCGAGCCUGCAGUCGAUACGGGCGGACUAGAGUUCGGUAGGGGAGACUGGAAUUCCUGGUGUAGCGGUGAAAUGCGCAGAUAUCAGGAGGAACACCGGUGGCGAAGGCGGCAUCCUGGACCGAUACUGACGCUGAGGAGCGAAAGCCAGGGGAGCAAACGGG
rnacentral:rRNA from 1 species